rnacentral:rRNA from 1 species
UACGGAGGGUGCAAGCGUUAUCCGGAUUUACUGGGUUUAAAGGGUGCGUAGGCGGAUAGGUAAGUCAGGGGUGAAAUCUUCGAGCUUAACUCGGAAAUUGCCUUUGAUACUAUCUAUCUUGAAUAUUGUGGAGGUAAGCGGAAUAUGUCAUGUAGCGGUGAAAUGCUUAGAGAUGACAUAGAACACCUAUUGCGAAGGCAGCUUACUGGGCUGUAACUGACGCUGAUGCACGAAAGUGUGGGGAUCAAACAGG